GACGAACGCUGGCGGCGUGCUUAACACAUGCCAGUCGAACGGAAAGGCCCUGCUUUUGUGGGGUGCUCGAGUGGCGAACGGGUGAGUAACACGUGAGUAACCUGCCCUGGACUUUGGGAUAACUUCAGGAAACUGGGGCUAAUACCGGAUAGGAGCUCCUGCUGCAUGGUGGGGGUUGGAAAGUUUCGGCGGUAGGGGAUGGACGCGCGGCUUAUCAGCUUGUGGGUGGGGUAGUGGCCUACCAAGGCUUUGACGGGUAGCCGGCCUGGGAGGGGGACCGGGGACAAGAGGACUAAGGGAGGCAGCAGACGCGAACAGGGGACAGCGGGGGGAAGUAUGACCCAGCCAUCGCGCGCGUGUGAAGAAAGCGCCGCGUUCGUAAAGACGGCCUUCGGGGUGUGAACCGCAGUCGCCUGAUACGAAGCUGGUGUGACGGUAAUGAGAGAAUAAGCACCGGCUAACUUCGUG
rnacentral:rRNA from 1 species